rnacentral:rRNA from 1 species
CCUACGGGAGGCAGCAGUGAGGAAUAUUGGUCAAUGGACGAGAGUCUGAACCAGGCAAGUAGCGUGAAGGAUGACUGCCCUAUGGGUUGUAAACUUCUUUUAUAUGGGAAUAAAACGUUCCACGUGUGGGAUUUUGUAUGUACCAUAUGAAUAAGGAUCGGCUAACUCCGUGCCAGCAGCCGCGGUAAUACGGAGGAUCCGAGCGUUAUCCGGAUUUAUUGGGUUUAAAGGGAGCGUAGGUGGAUUGUUAAGUCAGUUGUGAAAGUUUGCGGCUCAACCGUAAAAUUGCAGUUGAAACUGGCAGUCUUGAGUACAGUAGAGGUGGGCGGAAUUCGUGGUGUAGCGGUGAAAUGCUUAGAUAUCACGAAGAACUCCGAUUGCGAAGGCAGUUCACUGGACUGCAACUGACACUGAGGCUCGAAAGUGUGGGUAUCAAACAGGAUUAGAUACCCCAGUAGUC